UACGUAGGGUGCGAGCGUUGUCCGGAAUUAUUGGGCGUAAAGAGCUCGUAGGCGGUGUGUCGCGUCGGCCGUGAAAACCUGCAGCUUAACUGUGGGCUUGCGGUCGAUACGGGCAUCACUGGAGUUCGGCAGGGGAGAGUGGAAUUCCCGGUGUAGCGGUGAAAUGCGCAGAUAUCGGGAAGAACACCUAUGGCGAAGGCAGCUCUCUGGGACGGUACUGACGCUGAGACGCGAAAGCGUGGGGAGCGAACAGG
rnacentral:rRNA from 1 species